rnacentral:lncRNA from 1 species
AGUCUCGAUCUUUAGUAAGUGGGCCUGACAUCGAGGUGAUGUCAGGAAUUCUAAAAGGUUCGCCUCGGGUUUCGAAAAAUUCGGGACGGGUCCUUUCAAGAUUGUUACCAACUUGUAGAGUGGAACAUAUUCAUAACGCCUUAAAACCAAUUUAAUGUGCCUAGAAUUUAAUAUAAAAAUAGAAUAUAAUAGUGAGUCUGAGUGAUUAUACAACUAAUAGUAUCGAGAUCUUUUAUGAUAAAAUAAUUUAAUAAAUAAGAGGUUUUCUCAUUCAUAUAUAGAUAGAUUAGAAUUUAGGCACGAUCCACUACCAC